rnacentral:lncRNA from 1 species
AUCACUUCCCAGCCUGUGGCCCCGGACAAGAUACAGAGCUCCCUGUGAGUCUUGGUGUUCUGCAUCUGCAGGUGGAGAUGAGAGGGAGGCUCCACAGCCAAGCAAGCACUUGGGUCUUUUGAAGCCAAGCACUGAGAAGUCUUUUGGAGCUGAAAUAAAUCUUCUGGUCAUUUGCCACCGGUCAGAGCAUCCCCUCCAGCAAGGGCAGGGUGGGACUAAAAUCCAGAGACAUCUGGGCAGUGUCCAAACAUCACACAAGCUCAGGGAACUGCAAACAUCUGCACUGGGCUCCCAUCGUGGGGCAGUCUGCCGUCCUGUCCCGCUCUCUCCUCCUUUUAUGCUUCUGUUCAUCUAACGAAGAACAAAACAGCACACAGAGAAGCAGAGAAGAUGGGCAGCAAAAGGACUCAACAGAUGUAAUACUGCCACGCUCAAGAGCCUGUGUGAAUUUUUGAGCUUCUUCGGGAGGCAACGGGUGGCUCCGGGGUAUCCCAGCAUCUUGCAGUAUGGUCAGAGUCUUGACUGAUACUUGACUCUGGAGGGAAGCUGACGUGGAAGAUCACGUGAGCCGGUGUGUUGGAGACCAGCGUGGACAAAAAGCUAGAUUUGGUCUCAGAAGACAAAACACACCAACAGUAAACAAAGGAGAAAAAAAAAACACCCAAAUUUUUGUUUCUUUUUAAUAUUAAAUUACAGGGAAAUGGGCCCAAAGCCUAGUGUGAUUUGACUGUCAUGGAAUUAUAAAAUUGUGACCACGCUCUAACAAUUAAAGGCUAUGUCAACGUGGA